UACGGGGGAGCAAGCGUUGUUCGGAUUUACUGGGCGUAAAGGGCGCGUAGGCGGGCGCGAACAAGUCACUUGUGAAAUCUCCGGGCUUAACCCGGAGCGGUCAAGUGAUACUGUCGUGCUAGAGUGGCGGAAGGGCUACUGGAAUUCUCGGUGUAGCGGUGAAAUGCGUAGAUAUCGAGAGGAACACCUGCGGCGAAGGCGGGUUGCUGGGGCUGACACGUGACGCUGGAGGCGACGAAAAGCUAGGGGAGCGAACGGG
rnacentral:rRNA from 1 species